UACGUAGGGACCAAGCGUUGUUCGGAUUUACUGGGCGUAAAGGGCGCGUAGGCGGCGUGUUAAGUCAGCUGUGAAAUCUCCGAGCUUAACUCGGAACGGUCAGCUGAUACUGAUGUGCUAGAGUGCAGAAGGGGCAAUCGGAAUUCUUGGUGUAGCGGUGAAAUGCGUAGAUAUCUGGAGGAAUACCGGUGGCGAAGGCGGGUCUCUGGGCCGAUACUGACGCUGAGACGCGAAAGCGUGGGGAGCAAAGCAGG
rnacentral:rRNA from 1 species